rnacentral:rRNA from 1 species
CCCGCACAAGCGGUGGAGUAUGUGGUUUAAUUCGAAGCAACGCGAAGAACCUUACCAGGGCUUGACAUCCUACUAACGAAGUAGAGAUACAUUAGGUGCCCUUCGGGGAAAGUAGAGACAGGUGGUGCAUGGUUGUCGUCAGCUCGUGUCGUGAGAUGUUGGGUUAAGUCCCGCAACGAGCGCAACCCUUAUUGUUAGUUGCUACGCAAGAGCACUCUAGCGAGACUGCCGUUGACAAAACGGAGGAAGGUGGGGACGACGUCAAAUCAUCAUGCCCCUUAUGUCCUGGGCCACACACGUACUACAAUGGCGGCUAACAAAGGGAGGCAAUACCGCGAGGUGGAGCAAAUCCCCAAAAGCCGUCCCAGUUCGGAUUGCAGGCUGAAACUCGCCUGUAUGAAGUUGGAAUCGCUAGUAAUCGCGGAUCAGCAUGCCGCGGUGAAUACGUUCCCGGGCCUU